AUUGAACGCUGGCGGCAGGCCUAACACAUGCAAGUCGAACGGUAACAGGAAGAAGCUUGCUUCUUUGCUGACGAGUGGCGGACGGGUGAGUAACGCGUGGGUAACCUGCCUUGUACAGGGGGAUAACAGUUGGAAACGACUGCUAAUACCGCAUAAGCGCACAGUACCGCAUGGUACGGUGUGAAAAACUCCGGUGGUACAAGAUGGACCCGCGUCUGAUUAGCUUGUUGGUGAGGUAACGGCCCACCAAGGCGACGAUCAGUAGCCGGCCUGAGAGGGUGAACGGCCACAUUGGGACUGAGACACGGCCCAAACUCCUACGGGAGGCAGCAGUGGGGAAUAUUGCACAAUGGGGGAAACCCUGAUGCAGCGACGCCGCGUGAGUGAUGAAGUAUUUCCGGUAUGUAAACUCCUGUUGUUGAAGGAAGAUAAUGACGGUACUCAACAAGGAAGUGAACGGCUAACUACGUGCCAGCAGCCGCGG
rnacentral:rRNA from 1 species